rnacentral:rRNA from 1 species
UACGUAGGGGCCGAGCGUUGUCCGGAGUUAUUGGGCGUAAAGCGCGCGCAGGCGGCCUCGCGCGCCCGACGUGAAAGCCCCCGGCUUAACCGGGGAGGGUCGUUGGGGACGGCGGGGCUUGAGGGCGGGAGAGGUCGGUGGAAUUCCCGGUGUAGUGGUGAGAUGCGUAGAGAUCGGGAUGAACACCUGUGGCGAAGGCGGCCGACUGGGCCGACCCUGACGCUGAGGCGCGAAGGCGUGGGGAGCGAACGGG